UGAUAACAGCUGCAUCUCUGGGGGGCCGGGGGUAUAGCUCAGCGGCACAGCGCCUGCCUGACAAGUACGAGGUCAUGAGUUUGAUUCCCAGUACCACAAACAAAACAAAACAAAAAGUAAAUUGAUAAUGGGUACCAUUAAAGAAAACAAAAAGAAAAACAGCUGCAUCUCUCUGACAGGACCCAGGGAGGACCUGCUCUGGCCAAGCACUGCCUCAUGGCUCUACCAGAAAGCUCCAGGUCUGAAGGAGACACCUGCAAAUCAAGGGUCAUCCUAUAUUUCUUUUCUCCUAUCAGAAGGCCAGCAGGUUGUCUGGGUUACGAAGCAUUCAGCAUAGAAUGAAACCCGCUAAUUUUCACCAGCCCUGGGGACAGAGACAUCAUCUGAUAUAAUAUUUCCUCCUCUUCACCCUGGCAAGCUCUGCCAAACCAGACUUGAGAGAAGCAACAGCGUGUAAUGUGCUCCGAUAUAGUGAGGCUAAUACUAAGUAGGAAAAGUGGGAAGUGCUCCUGAAAUCUGCUGCGGGAACUGAAAAAUUCCAAGGAGAACAAAAGUGACAAAUCCCUGCAAUAUGCUACAUUUUUAUUCCCUGAAGAUGGAAGGUGCUGCAGCAUAUUCAUUUUGAGAGACUGAAUCAAACAUCUUAUGAGUUACCAGUUUUUUAAAAAAAUUUUGCUUUAAAAAUAUAAAUUUGAACCGGGCGUGGCAGCACACGCC
rnacentral:lncRNA from 1 species